UAGGGAAUCUUCGGCAAUGGGGGGAACCCUGACCGAGCAACGCCGCGUGAGUGAAGAAGGUUUUCGGAUCGUAAAGCUGUUGUUAAGGAAGAACGAGUGUGAGAAUGGAAAGUUCAUGCUGUGACGGUACUUAACCAGAAAGGGACGGCUAACUACGUGCCAGCAGCCGCGGUAAUACGUAGGUCCCGAGCGUUGUCCGGAUUUAUUGGGCGUAAAGCGAGCGCAGGCGGUUAGAAAAGUCUGAAGUGAAAGGCAGUGGCUCAACCAUUGUAGGCUUUGGAAACUGUUUAACUUGAGUGCAGAAGGGGAGAGUGGAAUUCCAUGUGUAGCGGUGAAAUGCGUAGAUAUAUGGAGGAACACCGGUGGCGAAAGCGGCUCUCUGGUCUGUAACUGACGCUGAGGCUCGAAAGCGUGGGGAGCGAACAGG
rnacentral:rRNA from 1 species